CAGCCGCGUAAUUCCAGCUCCAAUAGCGUAUAUUAAAGUUGUUGCAGUUAAAAAGCUCGUAGUUGAAUUUUGGAUUCUUCCAAUUGGUCCAUCUUUUAGAUGAGUACUGGUUGUGUGGGGUCUAUCCGCCUGGUGAUACGUAAUGUCCUUUAUUGGAUGUUUCGGGUAGUCAGGACCUUUACCUUGAAAAAAUUAGAGUGUUUAAAGCAGGCUUAUGCCGGAAUACAUUAGCAUGGAAUAAUAGAAUAGGACGAAGUUGUUUUAUUUUGUUGGUUUCUAGGACAACCGUAAUGAUUAAUAGGGAUAGUUGGGGGCAUUAGUAUUCAAUUGUCAGAGGUGAAAUUCUUGGAUUUAUUGAAGACUAACUACUGCGAAAGCAUUUGCCAAGGAUGUUUUCAUUAAUCAAGAACGAAAGUUAGGGGAUCGAAGACGAUCAGAUACCGUCGUAGUCUUAACCAUAAACUAUGCCGACUAGGGAUCGGGCGAUGUUGUUUCCAUGACUCGCUCGGCACCUUAUG
rnacentral:misc_RNA from 1 species